rnacentral:rRNA from 1 species
AUGACAGAGAACAUGAAGGAUUGUGUUCUUAAUGGGAACCAUUUCCAGCAGAUAUUUCUUGAUCAUGAUGACAGUAUGAGGUCAUAUAUUUCCCAUGUUCAAGUUCAUUCUGAUGAUGAAGAUCCUCCUCUAGUCAAAUUCAGUGGCCCGAGACCUAAGAAGGAGCAAGUGCCAGUGCAAGAUGAUCAUUCUGACCAAGUGCAAGAGGAAAAUGCUGAUCAAGUGCAAGAGGAGCAGGCUGAGCAAGAUCAGUUGUAUGAUGCAGAAAGUGAGGAAGAAUCAGAAGAAGAGGAGUACAUGCCAGGUCCUCCUCAGCCGGAUCAGUCGCGCGCUGGCUCGCGAGCGGAGCGCGUCCAGAACGUCGAGGUGGCCGUCCCCGCGCCUGUCAACACGGCCUACUGGGACCACUAUCAGCCCGACCUCCUCGGGCGCGAUGACAACUCCGAUUACAUCUCGUCGGAGUCGGAGUACGACUCUGGCUCCGACGAAGACUCUGGCUACGCCGCCGACUCGUCUUGGUCGACUGGCUGGGAGGAGCCAGAGGUGGUCGUCCUCUCUGACGACGAGCCGGAGGUGCAAAUGGCGGCGCCCGUCGUCCCCGAGUCGGAGGUCCAGAUGGUGGCGCCUGUCGCCAGGGAGGGUGACAAGCACCGCCCAAUUGACGUCGAUGCGCUUCCAGAUGUUCCUGACAUCGUCAAGAAGGAGGUGGAGGUGGUCUUGGCACUUGAAGCACAUGCAGAGGUGGCUGUCAAGAAGAUGAACAAGAAGAAGAGGAAGAUGCCUGAAGAAGGUGCAGCUGAGGUUCGCAGGUCAGAGCGCCUGAAGAAGAUGGCCUGA